UCGAGAUGUCGCGCGGCGGUGGCGCCUGAGCUCCCUGGCGGUUGCGCUCUGCGCCGCGGCCGCACGGUGUGCGCCAGCUCGGAGCCGGGCCAGUCCGCAGCCCGAAGCGUGGCCGAUGCUCCCAGAGGGCGCCCAGCCCGUCCCGCUCCUCCUCCGCCGUCUCCUCUCCUCCUGCCUCGACCGCCCGUCUCCGUUUCCAGAACCCGACAGCUUCGGAAGAGGCGCGUUCCGUCCAUCACCUCCUUGAUUCUCGCCGCCUCCUCUUAGAUUUCAGCUUCCCACCUGGGAAGGAAGACCUGAGCGACCACCCAGGAUGGCUGGAAGCCUCCCAGCCCACCCACCAUGGACCCUCCACCUUUAUCUCAUAGAGCCUGAAGCCACAGUGAUGUCCUUGAGCAGUUAGAUGACAGAACAGGCAUUGGGGCUGGCAUGUGGAAUCCCCCAGGAGCGAAGCAAAGAGAGCACAGUAGGAAUUACACCUCCCUGGGAAGCAGCUCCUGUGUUCUCAGUGCUCAUCCUUAGAAGCGUCCUCAGCUGGUGGACAAGCCUCUGAACAGCGGGCACAGCAGAGGAUAGUGAUGCUGAGCCAUGCUCAUGUUCUCCGGGAAUACCAACAUUUUCAGGACAUAUUGGCUGAAACUCACAGAUGAUAUUUCUAUGAUAUUUCUUUCAGAUUCUUUGUGUUAUUAAAAAAUGGAGUCAACCUGUUUUAUCAAAUCGUAUAGAAUAGCCUUAUUACAGUCUUCAUCUCAUAAAAUGUUUGGUAUUUUCUAUUUCUGUUAUAAGAAAGAAUUUUAGCACCAGGUCAAUUUGUUUUUUGCAGUGUAGUCAGCCCUCUGUAUUCGAGGGUUGCACAUCUGUAGAUUCACCCAGCUACUGAUCAAAAAUAUUCAGGGGAAAAAAAAUUUCAGAAAGUUCCAGAAAGCAAAACUUGAAUUUGCUGCAUUGGCAACUAUUUACAUAGCCUUUACAUUGUAUUAGGUAUUAUAAGUAAUCUAGAGGUGAUUUAAAUUAUAUGGGAGGGAGGAUAGAGGAUGUGCGUAGGUUGUAUGCAAAUACAUUUCAUAUAAAGGACUUGAGCACCCUCAGGUUUUGGUAUCUGUGGGCAUCCUAGAACCAAUUUCCCACAGAUGCUGAGGGAUGACUGUAUAUACAUCAAUAAAAGAUGCUUUCUUUUUUUUUUAAUAGAGGUAUAGUUGAUUUACAAUUUAUGUUUCAGAUGUACAACAUAGUGAUUCAAAAAUUUUAAAGAUUAUACUCCAUUUAUAGUUAUUAUAAAAUAUUGGCUAUAUUCCCUGUUCUGUACCAUAUGUCCUUGUAGCUUAUUUAUUUUACACAUAGUAGUUUGUACUUCUUAAUCCCCUCCAUCUGUCUUGCCCCUCCCUGCUAAAAGAUGCUUUCUAUGUUUAAGAAUUAUUUAUCAAAAGUUAUAUUUAUAUUGUUUUGGUCAAUUUUGUAUUAAUUCUAUUUGUAAUAAUAAUUCAACUCAGAAGAUAUGUUUAACACUUAGGAUUUAUG